GCUGCAGAGACAGACAGAUGGACGAAUGCCCAGGAUCAGAGACUCGACAACACUUAGCCGCUGCCGAGCUCCCGGGCCAAACGCCACGCCUGGGCCGGCAAGGUCACUCGAGAGGUGAAGAGAGGGAGGGACAGGGAAUGUGCGGGCGGAAGACGCUCUGAGAUCGUCUAUCUCUUACAUUGUAGGCACGAGAGAGCUGAAGCUGCGAAGAGGAGCCCGACCCCAAGUGUCACGAUAACGACCAAGCCUCCAGCAAGACCAGGGCAAUCUUCCGCUCGCAGAGCUUGACAACUUGUCAAUACACAAGUUCAACAGGUUGGACAUUCCCUCCUGCUUCCUGCGCCGCUGAGGAAGGAGCUCUCCCCAAUGGGCGCUGUGCCUCCUGGAGCUGCCACCCGGCCCGGCCCAUUGCCAAGGCAAACCCUCUCAGCAACCUGUGCUGAGUCCCCAAUCCUCCCUCCCGACCAUGACCCCCGCGACCGGCCAGGCCUGGGGCGCCCUCGCCAGGCCACCACCGGGCAAGCCCUUGGCCUGCGCUCUCUGCCCGAGAAGCAUCGGAUGCCCUAGCUCUUGUUGCGCGCGUUUAAGAGCCUUCUGAGAGUCGGGUGUCCGAGGCACCCACAGGCGUCGCCCUACCUCUCCAGCCCCUUUUUGUAGAACCGAGAGAAAAAGCCCACAUCGCCACAAUGGCCGUCCUGGUUUUGGAAUCCUGAUGAAUUAACAAACAUGGGCUCGAAAUUCCGCGUGCUUCUGUCUCUCCCCUCCCUCCUUCAACACAGUCUCCUAGUCCCCACAGUCUCCAACCUCGGAGACUAUCCAGACUGCGAGAUCCUGUGGAAGGCUACCUGGCUUAGAGCUGGCCACAAAAGAGCUGUAAGGAGAGGUGAGAAGAGGUAUUAGGAUGUGAAGCAGGAAAUACCGCACGUGUGUGCCCAGCAGAGUGGGGUCCCCGGGAGCGCUGUCUUCAUGGGGGUGGUUGUGGAGCGCAAGUUUCCUAUGUGGGCAUGGGCCAUACCUGGGGAGUUCAAUGGGGUGGGGGUGGGGGCUCAUGCAGAGAGAAGGAAGGAUAAGACUGAAAGUCCGAGGCCAAUUCCCUGCAUCUGGAAAGAAGUGCUCCGGAGAUGAUUUACAUGCAUUGGAGUGCCAUGUAUUUUCUGUACAUAUAAUUUACUUACUAGUCAACCAACAUUAGAGAAAUAAAAAGCUGUACUGAUUACCA